CAAUAGCGUAUAUUAAAGUUGUUGCAGUUAAAAAGCUCGUAGUUGGAUUUGUGGCGUACGGUGUGUUCCGGGCACUUGUUGUCUGAGUAACCUGCUGUUGUCAUCCUUGGGUGGAACCUGUGUGGCAUUAGGUUGUCGUGCAGGGGAUGCCCAUCAUUUACUGUGAAAAAAUUAGAGUGUUCAAAGCAGGCUUAUGCCGUUGAAUAUAUUAGCAUGGAAUAAUGAGAUAGGACUUUUUUGCUAUUUUGUUGGUUUGCGCAAAGAGGUAAUGAUUAAUAGGGACAGUUGGGGGUAUUCGUAUUCCAUUGUCAGAGGUGAAAUUCUUGGAUUUUUGGAAGACGAACUACUGCGAAAGCAUUUACCAAGGAUGUUUUCAUUAA
rnacentral:rRNA from 1 species